rnacentral:rRNA from 1 species
UAGCCUUUAGCAACAUAAGUAUUAAAGGUCCUGCCUGCCCAGUGAAAAUCUUUUAACGGCCGCGGUAUUCUAACCGUGCAAAGGUAGCGUAAUCACUUGUCUUCUAAAUAAAGACCAGUAUGAAUGGCCAAAUGAGGACAAACCUGUCUCCUACAAUUAAUCAGUGAAACUGAUCUCCCAGUCCAAAAGCUGGAAUACUAACACUAGACGAGAAGACCCUGUGGAGCUUAAAAUCUACCUAGUAAAUAAACUAGCAAGUUUUAAGUUGGGGCGACUUCGGAAAAAAACAAAACUUCCGAGCACAGAACCACCCAUUCUAAACUGAGGCAAACAGGCCAAAGCCGAAACCUGACCCAGUCACACUGAUCAACGGACCAAGUUACCCCAGGGAUAACAGCGCCAUCCUCUUCAAGAGUCCAUAUCGACAAGGGGGCUUACGACCUCGAUGUUGGAUCAGGGCACCCCAAUGGUGCAGCCGCUAUUAAAGGUUCGUUUGUUCAACGAUUAACAGCC